AGACUGCUCCACGUGCGCUGGGAGUCUAAGUAAGGUGCUGCCCUCCAACCACAGAAGCCGGGGUCGGAGCCAUGAGCCUGAGUCAGGACGACCUUCAGUUUCCUCAUCCAUGAAACCUGGGGAGGUUACUCUCAGGAAGGCUUGGAUCUGUUUCUUCUUCAUCCCUGUUUCUCAGUGUCCAGAACAGCUUCUGGCACGUAAUAGGCACUCCACAAAUAUUUGUUGAACGAAAGGAAGAAAAUGCCUAGCAGUCAGUCAGUCUGUUCUUACCUAAGUCGAGUGACCUCCAAAACUCGACGCUGCUUUUCCCUCUGCUGCUAAGCCUACCAGCUCCCACUCACAGUGAAGCCUUGGCCUCUCAGGCCUUGCAGGGUGACUCAGUUCAAAUGUACAUUUUAUUCUGCACUUUCUACUGCCCACCCCACUGGCAUCUCAUCUCGAGUCUCAACCAUACCCAAG
rnacentral:lncRNA from 1 species